rnacentral:lncRNA from 1 species
CGGACUGUUGAUGUUGGUAGUAGUUAGAUUGAGACUAUCUCCAUUCCUAUGUCCGUAUCACAUAAGAAUGUAGUUCCUGCACCCAUUAAUAGAGUAAAUAAUAGAGUGGAUAUUUAGGCCCUUGAUUCUCCUACUUCUAUUGAGAAUCUUCAAACAGUUGAGCCUGUUAAGAAGGUGCUAUUAGGGAGAUCUGCCAAAUAGAGGAGGACUACAAUUCUUGAUGAUUUCUUUGUCUACCUUAGGAAAAAUGAUUAUGACAUUGAGCAUGUGGUUGAUCCAGUAACAUA